ACGGCCAUACCAUGCUGAAUAUACCGGUUCUCGUUAGAUCACCGAAGUCAAGCAUCAUUGGGAACGAUUAGUACUUGGGUGGGUGACCACCUGAGAACACCGCGUGACGUU